UACGUAGGGUGCGAGCGUUGUCCGGAAUUAUUGGGCGUAAAGAGCUCGUAGGCGGUCUGUCGCGUCGGCUGUGAAAUCCCGAGGCUCAACCUCGGGUCUGCAGUCGAUACGGGCAAACUUGAGUGUUGCAGGGGAGACUGGAAUUCCUGGUGUAGCGGUGAAAUGCGCAGAUAUCAGGAGGAACACCGGUGGCGAAGGCGGGUCUCUGGGCAACAACUGACGCUGAGGAGCGAAAGCCAGGGGAGCAAACGGG
rnacentral:rRNA from 1 species